rnacentral:tRNA from 1 species
GUGUCCGUAGUGCAGCGGUCCAGCACUCCCCGGGAGACGGGGCGACGCGGGUUCGAAUCCCGUCGGGCACACCG